GCUUUCCAUGCACGCUUGCCCGGCCACAAGGAAGGGGAGUCCCUACUCUGCCUGACCUCACCAGCUGGGGGGAGUGCCCAGCCCUCCAUCACAGCCCAGAGUAACAGAGGAGCAGACGAGUUCCGUUCACAGGCCCUAACACAACCGAUCCCCAAAACCAGAAGGGGAAAGCAGCAGACCCAGGAAAGCCAUGGACCCAGGCUGCAUAACCCAACGGUGUUCCGGGACGCUUGGCGAGGACAACCGCGGUCUCCGGGCAGCGUGACCCAGCCCCGCGCGCCUGGGGGCGGGGGACCCGUGCACCUGCAUCUCCGCGCGCAGGAGGAACGGGACGCGCCGGGUGUGGGGGCGGGGGGCUGGGACCCGCGGCUCCCGUGCCCAUCUCCUCCAGCCCCUGGAGCCCGGCCCAGGGUCUGGCUUUCAAAUAGCGGAAAUGUGGAAUUCUGUAUAAAAUCGUAAUCUCUAAACGCUUACAAAUAAUUAGAAAAGCUUACAGUUAGGCCAAGCAACAGCAUUGGCAGGCUGAUUUCAGGCCCCGUGUGAUGACAUCUGUACCGGGAAACAGAUGUGAGCCAUCGUCCACACCCUCAAAGCAUUACAGUUGGGGUGGGGGUAGAAAGUGAAGCCCACUGUUCUGUUCCGCUGCACCCUGGAGGGCCGGUGUGACUGCGGGGGAGGGGGGAUCCCCACUCUCAGGUCGCCCCUGCUACAUUACUGUCGUCUUCCCUGAAGGAAGGUUGGUGGUGCCAUCUCAGGGCACCCCUGCUUCUCCACACAGCGGUGGCUUCCUGCGUUCUCUGACGGGACCCCCCUCCCCCAGCCUCCGGUCAGCCUGCACUCUUGGACGCAGGCCAGCAUCGCUGCUCUCCUCUGCAUCUGGCCUGCUCCCUGCAGGGGCGCUGAUCUCACCCGCAGACUGCUCCAGGGCACUGUCCUGCAGGAAGUGUGGGCGGUUAAGUCUGCACCCCACCUCACCCCCUGUGGUCCCAUUUCCCUGCCAGGGGAGUCCCCGUCCCCUGCCCCCACCCCAGGGAAGAUGGGAGCCACAGUGCUCGCUGGAACACUGCCCACCUUGAGAGUGAACAGGGGCAGUGAGGAAGCCAUGGGGCCACGAUGUGCGCCUUUUCAGUGUCUCUUCAAUAAAAUAGAGAAAGCAUCAGACACA